CGGGACGGGUGAGUAACGCGUGGAUAACCUGCCUCACACUGGGGGAUAACAGUUAGAAAUGGCUGCUAAUACCGCAUAAGCGCACAGUACCGCAUGGUACGGUGUGAAAAACUCCGGUGGUGUGAGAUGGAUCCGCGUCUGAUUAGUUAGUUGGCGGGGUAACGGCCCACCAAGACAGCGAUCAGUAGCCGACCUGAGAGGGUGACCGGCCACAUUGGGACUGAGACACGGCCCAA
rnacentral:rRNA from 1 species